GGUAACUCCUCAACUUUGCUAUGACUUAAAUCAAUCUCGCUUAGGUGACACAAAUUUCCAAUCCCUUCAGGAAGUCUAGAAAGACACUUACAUCCUUCAAGGUCUAGAAUUUCCAAGUUAUCCAAAGAGCAAAUUGAAUCAGGUAACUCCUCAACUUUGCUCCAACAUAUAUCAAUCUUCCUUAGGUGACGCAAAUUUCC